rnacentral:rRNA from 1 species
CCUACGGGAGGCUGCAGUGAGGAAUAUUGGUCAAUGGACGAGAGUCUGAACCAGCCAAGUAGCGUGAAGGAUGACUGCCCUAUGGGUUGUAAACUUCUUUUAUAAAGGAAUAAAACGAGGCACGUGUGCCUUUUUGCAUGUACUUUAUGAAUAAGGAUCGGCUACCUCCGUGCCAGCAGCCGCGGUAAUACGGAGGAUCCGAGCGUUAUCCGGAUUUAUUGGGUUUAAAGGGAGCGUAGAUGGGUUGUUAAGUCAGUUGUUAAAGUUUGCGGCUCAACCGUAAAAUUGCAAUUGAUACUGGCAGUCUUGAGUACAGUUGAGGUAGGCGGAAUUCGUGGUGUAGCGGUGAAAUGCUUAGAUAUCACGAAGAACCCCGAUUGCGAAGGCAGCUUACUAAACUGUGACUGACAUUGAUGCUCGAAAGUGUGGGUAUCAAACAGGAUUAGAUACCCCUGUAGUC